AACGAGCGCUGGCGGCAUGCCUAACACGUGCAAGUCGAACGAGAUCUUCGGGUCUAGUGGCGCACGGGUGCGUAACGCGUGGGAAUCUGCCCUUUGGUUCGGAGUAACAGUUGGAAACGACUGCUAAUACCGGAUGAUGACGAAAGUCCAAAGAUUUAUCGCCAGAGGAUGAGCCCGCGUAGGAUUAGCUAGUUGGUGUGGUAAAGGCGCACCAAGGCGACGAUCCUUAGCUGGUCUGAGAGGAUGAUCAGCCACACUGGGACUGAGACACGGCCCAGACUCCUACGGGAGGCAGCAGUGGGGAAUAUUGGACAAUGGGCGAAAGCCUGAUCCAGCAAUGCCGCGCGAGUGAUGAAGGCCUUAGGGUUGUAAAGCUCUUUUACCCGGGAUGAUAAUGACAGUACCGGGAGAAUAAGCUCCGGCUAACUCCGUGCCAGCAGCCGCCGUAA
rnacentral:rRNA from 1 species